rnacentral:snoRNA from 1 species
CAUCUGCGGAGUCUCGGCCACGUCCAGGGUUGGCAGUACCCUCGGCACACCAGACUCGCAGGAAAAGCAUACCCCGGAGGAAGCUGAGGCAUGCCUGCUCGAGAGCCGGCAGUGCCAUGUGCAAUGUUCCUCGGAUACCGCAAAAAAAAAAAAAAAAAAACAAAACAAAA